rnacentral:rRNA from 1 species
CAAUAGCGUAUAUUAAAGUUGUUGCAGUUAAAAAGCUCGUAGUUGGAUUUCUGGUGGGAGCGAUCGGUCUGGCGCUUAGCGCGAGUACUUGCAUCGUCUCCGGCCAUCCUUGGGGAGAGUCUGUCUGGCAUUAGGUUGUCGGGCAGAGGAUCCUCAUCGUUUACUGUGAAAAAAUUAGAGUGUUCAAAGCAGGCUUAUGCCGUUGAAUAUAUUAGCAUGGAAUAAUAAGAUAGGACUUUGGUACUAUUUUGUUGGUUUGCGCACCAAAGUAAUGAUUAAUAGGGACAGUUGGGGGUAUUCGUAUUCCGUUGUCAGAGGUGAAAUUCUUGGAUUUACGGAAGACGAACUACUGCGAAAGCAUUUGCCAAGGAUGUUUUCAUUAA